UACGGGGGGGGCAAGCGUUGUUCGGAAUUACUGGGCGUAAAGGGCUCGUAGGCGGCCAACUAAGUCAGAUGUGAAAUCCCUCGGCUUAACCGGGGAACUGCGUCUGAUACUGGAUGGCUUGAGUUUGGGAGAGGGAUGCGGAAUUCCAGGUGUAGCGGUGAAAUGCGUAGAUAUCUGGAGGAACACCGGUGGCGAAGGCGGCGUUCUGGACUGUAACUGACACUGAUGAACGAAAGCCAGGGGAGCAAACGGG
rnacentral:rRNA from 1 species